rnacentral:lncRNA from 1 species
AUAAAUCUAUUAAUAAAAGUUAUGGAAAUGUCUUGGAAACUCAUUGGGCAAAUGUGUAGGAACCGUUCAGUUUGAACAAAUAAUCCUAAAUGGAUACAGAAGAGCAUAUGAUCAAAUAAAAACUUUCUGAACCAUUUAACCAUAUAACCAACAAUAGCAUUCCAGACAACAAAACUAACCUACACAAUAUAGGUACACAGGUGUUGAGAAAUCACCUCUCCUGUCUCAAAGCAUUUACCUGAAAUCAUGUGACUCUGAUCCUGCUUAAUAUGGCAAAACAGGAAAUGCAUUAAGGAGGGAAAGUGAGGAAUAAAAAGAGGACAGUUCUGUGCACACUCUAGUGCAAACACACUCGAGAGACAUUCUUGUGAAUGACACAGCUUUAGAGAAAUGGCUUUCAGGACUCAGCAAGCAAGUGUCUGCCCGCUUCUCCUAAUCUCAUUCUGCUUACACUUCAUCACAGGUACAGUAGCAUUUAAAUACUUAUCAGGAUAGUUUACAGAUUUUUCAGAUAUUGGUCAUGGAGGUGAUGUGGGACACAUUGUUUUAUGUUUCUGGAUUUGUCUUUAGAUAACAGGGCCACUGCAAUAUCCAUUCGAGAAAAAUGUGAGUGUGCUGAGGAAACUGGCUCAGUGCAAUGGAGAAAAAUUACAGACUACACGAUCAUACAGAAAGAUCCUCUUUGCAACAAGGUUCAAAUCAUACUCCAGCUGUCAGGUAAACGAUCUUGUCUAAAUCCAGAGUCCAAGCAGGGGAAAAAACUACAAAGAUGCUGGAGAAGAAUUAAAUUCAACACACAGAAGAAGAAGGUCUGUCUGAAGCUCAAGAAGAAGAAUGGACCAAAAAAGCCCAAGAGGCAUUAAUUCAACAAUCUUUACCUUUUCUGUGUAGAAAGACUAUGUGCCUGUACUUUGUCAUUUACCCUGCCAGUCCUUUAUUUGCACAAAUAAAUGAUAUAUGUAUUAUGUAGAUGGAAUUUGUGUAUAUCUAUAUUUUGUACUGCUAUUUUCUAAUAAAAACGUAUAAAAGUUUUUGCAUGGUUUCGUGCAAUUGAUGUGAUAAUUAGCUUAUAUCAUUUUAUGUCCAUAUUUA